CAAUAGCGUAUAUUAAAGUUGUUGCAGUUAAAAAGCUCGUAGUUGGAGUUCAGAGUGAGCUCGUCCGGUCGGCCUUAUGGGUCAGAACUGGUUGACUCUCUCUUGUUUGUGGAUCCUGUCAGCAGUUAACUCUGUUGAUGUGGAGUCCACAUCGUUUACCUUGAAAAAAUUAGAGUGUUCAAAGCAGGCAUGUUCGCCUGAAUAUUAGUGCAUGGAAUAAUGGAAGAGGACCUCGGUUCUAUUUUGUUGGUUUUCGGAGCUCGAGGUAAUGAUUAAGAGGGACUGACGGGGGCAUUCGUAUUACGGUGUUAGAGGUGAAAUUCUUGGAUCAUCGUAAGACGAACUACUGCGAAAGCAUUUGCCAAGAAUGUUUUCAUUAGUCAAGAACGAAAGUCGGAGGUUCGAAGAUGAUCAGAUACCGU
rnacentral:rRNA from 1 species